CAUAUGGUCGACCUGCAGGCGGCCGCGAAUUCACUAGUGAUUAGAGUUUGAUCAGGGCUCAGAUUGAACGCUAAUCGCAGUCCUAACACAGCCAAGUCGAGCGGGAGCUUGCGACUCGGGAAUUCGGCGGACAGUGAGUAGCCUAGGAAUCUGCCUGGUAGUGGGGGAUAACGUUCGGAAACGGACGCUAAUACCGCAUACGUCCUACGGGAGAAAGCAGGGGACCUUCGGGCCUUGCGCUAUCAGAUGAGCCUAGGUCGGAUUAGCUAGUUGGUGGGGUAAUGGCUCACCAAGGCGACGAUCCGUAACUGGUCUGAGAGGAUGAUCAGUCACACUGGAACUGAGACACGGUCCAGACUCCUACGGGAGGCAGCAGUGGGGAAUAUUGGACAAUGGGCGAAAGCCUGAUCCAGCCAUGCCUUUGACGUUACCGAUAGAAUACGCACGCUAUGCAUCCA
rnacentral:rRNA from 1 species